CAAAAGAUAUCAUUUGAAGUGCACUGAUGCUGAACAUUUUAAGAUGUGUUUUACUGAGCGUGGCAGCAGAGCGCAAAGAAACCAAUAAAUGCAGUACCGUCUCAUCAAUGCCCUGCACAGCUGGAGCAAGACUUCCCUACUCUCACACCCCAUUCCUGUGCAGUCGAGACCAACAGGCCACUUCUCUCCUAAUUCCUUGCCGUACCCGGGUGUGAUCUGUUUGUUCGUCAUACUCAGCAGAUUUCACUCUCAGCUCCUCCCCACCUUACGGAGAACAGACCUCAAUAUAAAUGAGAGGACCUCAGUUUCAGUGGGUAUUAACCACCUGAUUCCAC